rnacentral:ribozyme from 1 species
UCUAGACAUGAACCCAUGACGGGCAUGUUAUUGAGUCAUUCGAGUUAAUGACUGUACCACGCGACCGCCCCCUACUCCUACUAAAUAUGUCCCCGUCGUUGAGAACGGUAACAUGCCUCUCAAUUAUCUAAGCUUUUGUAUACGGGGAAAUCCAACCCCUUGGGCGGAUGGGUUGCAUGGCUAAAUUAAGCAUU